CGGGGCGACACCGAGCAGGGGCGCUGCGUGUCCUGGCAGUCCAGGCGAAGAGUGGGCACGGUCCCUGGGGCGCCCCAGCCGGAGCAGGAAGCCCUCUCCGCAUCCUUUGGGUCUUGGAGGUGCUGAAGGUCCCCGGAGUCUCCGAGGAAACUAUCAACAUCCCCGGAAGGGAGAACUCCCUAAACUGUUAGCAGCCCACGCCUGGGAUGGGGCUUCGUUGGCUUCUUACCUGCGCAAGAAGUGGGGCCUGAGGAACAGGACGCAGGGCUAAACUUGGAACAGUGACAGAAAAUUUGAGAACUCUCUACAGGAAGAGCAUCUUAUUGACCCCAAAGAGAGCCAGACCAGAAUGGAAAAGUUGUGGGUUCAAGAUGAGGACUGUAGAUCCUAAGGCAAGGACAAUGCUGGAUUGCACCUGGAUGAGAAGGAAAGCCCCAGGGCACUUCCAGCCAAUAUCCCAGUAUGUUAAAAUCUCCCACUGUGAUGGACUGAGAAUGAACAUGGAGGAAGUUUAUGGGACAGAAUCUCACCGUGCUGCCCAGGCUGAUUUUAAACUCCUGGCCUCAAGUGAUCCUCCUUCCUCAGCCUCCCAAAGUUCUGAGAUUAUAAGCAUGAGUCAUUGCACCAGGCCUAUUUAAAAUUUUUCAUUUAAAAAUACCAGGGAAAAAUCUUCCUUUAUGAUUGUUGAUUUUCUGAUUUCUCCUAUGAGUCUGUCAAUUUUUGCUGCCUAUAUUGAGACUUAAGUUGUUAGGUACAAACUAAGAUUCUCUCGGUUAGUAAAUCUAUCCCUGGUGCAUAUUCCUGUACUUUUACCUUUCUGUGCCAUUGUUGUGAAGUGUAUUUUGUAAAAAUGAAAUAGUUACA